rnacentral:rRNA from 1 species
UACGAAGGGGGCUAGCGUUGUUCGGAAUUACUGGGCGUAAAGCGCGCGCAGGUGGUCUUUCAAGUCAGUGGUGAAAGCCCGGAGCUCAACUCCGGAAAUGCCAUUGAAACUGUAAGACUUGAGGAUGAGAGAGGUGAGUGGAAUUCCCAGUGUAGAGGUGAAAUUCGUAGAUAUUGGGAAGAACACCGGUGGCGAAGGCGGCUCACUGGCUCAUAUCUGACGCUCAGGCGCGACAGCGUGGGG